rnacentral:rRNA from 1 species
GACGAACGCUGGCGGCGUGCUUAACACAUGCCAGUCGAACGGAAAGGCCCUGCUUUUGUGGGGUGCUCGAGUGGCGAACGGGUGAGUAACACGUGAGUAACCUGCCCUUGACUUUGGUAUAACUUCAGGAAACUGGGGCUAAUACCGGAUAGGAGCUCCUGCUGCAUGGUGGGGGUUGGAAAGUUUCGGCGGUUGGGGAUGGACUCGCGGCUUAUCAGCUUGUUGGUGGGGUAGUGGCUUACCAAGGCUUUGACGGGUAGCCGGCCUGAAAGGGUGACCGGCCACAUUGGGACUGAGAUACGGCCCAGACUCCUACGGGAGGCAGCAGUGGGGAAUAUUGCACAAUGGGCGGAAGCCUGAUGCAGCAACGCCGCGUGCGGGAUGACGGCCUUCGGGUUGUAAACCGCUUUCGCCUGUGACGAAGCGUGAGUGACGGUAAUGGGUAAAGAAGCACCGGCUAACUACGUG